rnacentral:rRNA from 1 species
GACGAACGCUGGCGGCGUGCCUAAUACAUGCAAGUCGACCUUAGUGGCGAACGGGUGAUUAACACGUGGGUAACCUGCCCAUCACACUGGGAUAACACUUGGCAACAGCUGCUAAUACCGUAUACUGCUUUAUGUACCCGCGGUGCAUUAGCUAGUUGGUGAGGUAACGGCUCACCAAGGCCACGAUGCAUAGCUGACCUGAGAGGGUGAUCGGCCACAUUGGGACUGAGACACGGCCCAAACGCCUACGGGAGGCAGCAGUAGGGAAUCGUCCGCAAUGGACGAAAGUCUGACCGAGCAACGCCGCGUGAGUGAAGAAGGUUUUCGGAUCGUAAAACUCUGUUGUUAGAGAAGCGGUAUCUAACCAGAAAGCCACGGCUAACUACGUGCCAGCAGCCGCGGUAAUAC